UGGGGAAUAUUGCACAAUGGGCGAAAGCCUGAUGCAGCGACGCCGCGUGAGGGAUGACGGCCUCGGGUUGUAAACCUCUUUCAGCAGGGAAGAAGCGAAAGUGACGGUACCUGCAGAAGAAGCGCCGGCUAACUACGUGCCAGCAGCCGCGGUAAUACGUAGGGCGCAAGCGUUGUCCGGAAUUAUUGGGCGUAAAGAGCUCGUAGGCGGUUAGUCGCGUCUGCUGUGAAAACUCGAGGCUCAACCUCGGGCUUGCAGUGGGUACGGGCUGACUAGAGUGCGGUAGGGGUGACUGGAAUUCCUGGUGUAGCGGUGGAAUGCGCAGAUAUCAGGAGGAACACCGAUGGCGAAGGCAGGUCACUGGGCCGCAACUGACGCUGAGGAGCGAAAGCAUGGGGAGCGAACAGGAUUAGAUACCCUGGUAGUCCAUGCCGUAAACGUUGGGCACUAGGUGUGGGGUCCAUUCCACGGAUUCCGUGCCGCAGCAAACGCAUUAAGUGCCCCGCCUGGGGAGUACGGCCGCAAGGCUAAAACUUAAAGGAAUUGACGGGGGUCAUAGCUGUUUCCU
rnacentral:rRNA from 1 species